rnacentral:rRNA from 1 species
UACGGGGGGGGCAAGCGUUGUUCGGAAUUACUGGGCGUAAAGGGUUUGUAGGUGGCUUGCUAAGUCAGACGUGAAAUCCCUCAGCUUAACUGGGGAACUGCGUCUGAGACUGGCAAGCUCGAGUGCAGGAGAGGAACGCGGAAUUCCAGGUGUAGCGGUGAAAUGCGUAGAUAUCGGGAGGAACACCUGUGGCGAAAGCGGCGCACUGGACCACAACUGACGCUGAGGCGCGAAAGCUAGGGGAGCAAACAGG